UUAUAGAGUAUUCUUUGCUGAUAUCUAAGC
rnacentral:piRNA from 1 species